AGUACCGGUAAUAUUGCACUGACGCCGAGAAGAGGACACGCUUUGUCCAGCUCUCCUUGUAGGAUCCGUUUCUGUAGCCUCUGGGCUGGAAGGCGGAUGCCUGCGCUUGCUGUGAUUUAGGCAGAGGGGGGGCGAUGUUAGCUCAGUGCCCUGCCUGACCUAAGUUGGGCAUCAAGUGCAAGCGAGCGAGCUUUUGCAGCUUUAAUUGCAGCUCUGUGCGAGUUUUGGCUGGCUUACGUCUAACUGCGUGCUUGGAGCGAUGUGCCUGGAGGAAGAUGUGUAGGACUGCUGGCUGAAGCUCGUGAAAACAGACAGGUGUCCAGAGAGAUCUCGCAUUUCGUGGAAAUUGGUCACGAUCUAAAGCAGAACUGGGCCAUCAGUGCCAGCCUUGUCUCUGUUUCACUGGACCGCUCUAGGCUGAAUGAGGAUUUGAGCUAUCUAGCUCAAGACAGGAGCUUGUUUUACUAUAGCCCCAGGGGGAAAGUGCAUUGCUGAAGUAAAAGAUCCCAUUAAAAUCAGCAUAUCUUCAGCAGAGUGAUUGUUCUCCCCUUAAACUGGGGAAACAACCAGCUAGCUCAAACUGAAGGGGAGGGGGAGGAAUCGCUCCCCGUUUUGCUGAGCUGUCUAGUUCUGGGCACAGUCCAAGUCCAUCGUUCUGGAGCUGGGUGAGUGUGGAGUGACUGGGUGACGGGGGCUGGAUGUGUUCUGUGGGAGCGUUUGGCUUGCCUUGCCUCCAUUCCCUUCAGGAGCUGUGGCAGGGAAGGGGAACCUCCUGCCAUCGGCCCCACCAUCUCUUGUUGGAAGAGGCUGCUUCCGUUUAAGAGGGGGAUGGUGCAGCUACCACGCAGGACCAGGCGUUCGGAGACAGGAGGUGCCUCCUCUGUGUAGCUGGGACUUGCGGCUGCUGAUAACGCCCGAACUCCUUGCGCUGAUACAAAGAAAUAUAAGCUUGCCAAGCUGCUUCGCGCAGUGCCCUUCAGCUCUGCCUAUCUCCUCUUCCUCCUGUGCUUCCUCCUUUGUCAGCAGACAGGCGCGUGGCUCAAGUAAUCCAGGUUUCACUAAAGAUCCGUUAAGAGCGCUCUGCUAGAGUCUUAUCAGUAAGGAUGAGAUAUGGCCUCAGGCUCCUUGGCCCAUCGUGGUGCAAGGAGGUUUUUUUAAAGCAGCUUUAAAAAAAAAAAAAAAAAAAGCUGUUAGAGCACUUCUGAACAACACCGUUGGGGUGAGGGGUGCCCCCCCCGCUGGUUAUUCUAGCUUUUUUACAGGCGAAGCAGCAGGGAGUCUAACACAAGUGACUUCAUUUUGCAUUUUCCCCGUAGGAUCUAGCCACGGUGUUCUGCAUGGAGCUGUGUUUGCUGGUAGCUGAAGUCAUGAUAGCUGGCGAAAAAAAUCAAAAUGUGUUUGAGUAUGGGAGCGUCUGGCCGGCAUGUUUAGCUGGAUAGGACUCCAGGCAGGCUGCGUUUCAAACAGUUCCUCAGCAGUUGAUGAUUUGGGUGGGAAAGAGAUGAUUUUAAAGCGGAAGGAUAUCCAGGCAAUUUCUUUCUGCGUAUGCGAGGAGGGGGUGUGCAUCCCGUUAGGACAGUGGUGGUGGUGGUGGUUUUGGCCUACUGGCCAUACGCUGGGCAUGUGUAUGGGUUGCCUCUGGGUAGCUAAAUAUGCCACUUCCUUACAUAUUAUUCCCAUGCUUUCUGCUCCCGUCAGCCAGCCCUCAAGCCCCUGGUGGUUUCCCCGCAGUUUUCUCCCUCUCUGUCGUCGUGCGCACAUCAGUGCCCUGCUCUUUUUCCCCAGGCUGAUGAAUAUUCUCUGAUGCCUCUCUCGCUCUGUGCGCUCCAGCUGGUUUUUCCACGUUCCUCGCUUCCCCAGCCCAAGUGUCUUCUGCCAAGUUACUUCCCAAUGCUUUGCCCCAGCUGAUUUCUUGUAGUAAAUGUGCUGCUAAAGUGAGCUUGCUUUUCAAAAAUCCUGUCUCCACUGUGGGCCUCUCGCCCAUCUAUGGAUUUUAAGGCUGCGAGGCGCCGUGGCAGCCUCCUGUUGUGCAUAGCGAGGGUCAGAUGCUUUCCUGCCCCGGGAAACUCUGCAUCGCACGUGGGUGCCUCUUGGAAACGCCUCGGAGCCACCACCAGCCGUGGGCUCGGUGGAGGGUUCCACGGCGUGGGUUUUCCUUGUCUGUGUGGAAAAAUACACUUCUGAGAAUCGUAAGUCCUUUUCUGCCCCUGCAUUUGUGGCUACUUUCUUCCUGCGCAGAUACUGAGGUAUGAUCGAGGUCUCUUCUAAGUGUUGCGGUUUGAUUAUUUCCUAAAUGUCCCUCUGUCUGCUCUGCACCUUGUUGCCAACGUUGUCCUCCCCGUGUGUUCCUCUUGCCAUCCUUGUGUUUUGUAGCCUUCCCCGUUCAUCCCUUUUUCUCCCUGCUUGUUUCUCGCCCUUUCUCUGUGUUGCUUGGCUUUGCCCGCUGUCAGCCCUUUGGGGUGGCGGCUGUUGCCGCAAGGGCCCACAGUAAUGCCACCAUCGCUCUUGGCUGAUGGCUCUUCGCAUUCUUCCUGUACUUGCCCUCCGCUUCCGCAGCCUCGCGUUAUCUCAGGCUGCAUCUUGACGUGGGAUUUGCACUGCAGACUUCGGUAUUAAGGAGAUGAGGUAGCUCGUAAGGAUUAUUUUAUGUGGAGCUCAGAUAUGGCAGAGGGUAUCCCCCAAGGGAUGCUAAGGAUUUCUAUUAAAUGUAUUUAAUCUGGGUUUUAUACAUCAUCCAGGGUAUUUUCCUGUUGGCUAUUGUGCUUUAGUUGUAGAUUAAAUAUAUCCGUGGGAUCUAACUGAUAGCAACGUGUUCUUAAAUUGUGCCACACACCAGUAAGUGUUGUACUCUGACACUUCGUGGUCUGUAUCUCUCCCCUGGGAAAAAAUAUAAAUCCACAGCGUGAUCUAUAGGUGACUUACGUGACUAAUCAAAGGGGUGAUACACUCCUGAUCGGGGUUUUCUUACGUAGUUGCUUCACUCAUAGCCAGCUUUUUUUCCAGUACUCCAUCAGUAUCACCCUGGUAAGUGCAUUUCCGAAACUGACUAAAGAGCAGUUCAUUUCCCUUCCAGGCCUUUGUCCUGUGGCUCUGGCUCCUGGUAACUCUCUGCUGUAAGCACUAGAGUUCAGGCCUUUUGAAUUAGAGGCCUUUAUUCUUGUUUUGUGAAAUGAUGGGCAUGGUAAUUACACGGGGCAAGAAGUUUUAUAUUCCUUUUUUUUUUUUCUUAAACUAUUUCUGAGAUGUUUGAGGACCUAAGGAGGCUUGUCAGCAUCUCGAAUAGGAUCUGAGACUUUGCUGACGUAAGCUUGCUUUCGUAGUGGUGUCUGUAACACGGCUGAAUACCUGACCCGCUAUGAAGCAGCACGCUUGCUGGAGAAGAGGACGGUGUAAGUUCUGUGCUGGUGAUUUGUGGGCCUGUGUAGGUCUCCACUUACUUUGUGUUCUCUUCUUUCUCCAAAUCCUCUUGAGGUGAGCUGAUUGCAAGAGAAAAUGUGCUUAAAUAAUGACCCUCUGCUCAAUGCAUACUUAAGGUCUUGGUGACCUGCUUUGGAAAGUGCAUUUGAAAACCACCUUCAUAUUUUUUCCUCUUCCUUUGUUCUAGACCAAUUCAGCUGGAUUUCUUGAGACAUAUUUUGCCAAUCUUACCUGCCCGCAUUACUCUGGCUUCUCAGGGCGGCCGCAUUAGCAGGGGUGAUGGUUUGGCUCUGUAGAGAGUGUUUACAAAUUACCACCACAUCUACGUUUAUGUAGGGACGCGAGCACGACUCUGCAGGGCAAACCUGGCAGUCUGCAAAGGAUUGGGUGUCAUGAGCCGCAGUCACACACUGGGACGGCUUUGGGGAGUGAGCUCUGGCUGUGUCUGAGGCUUUUCCAUGGCCGGGAGGUGGUGAGAUCUGAGGCGAAUCCCGUCACUGCGCGCAGGUCUGGUAAAGGGGCGAAAGGUGUCUCCUUAGUCCUCUGGGUAAUACACAGUGACUGCAAAGUGGAGGGACUUCCGCUCUUCUCAGUUCGUUGGUUUUUUUUUUUUUUUUUUUUUAUUCACACCUAAAACUGAGUCUUUGCUUGUCUGGUAAGGCAGGGUGGUUUACUGCGCCCUGCGUAAGCCCUGCUGUGUGGCAAGAGCAGGAUUUUGGAGAAUUUAAAAGUACUCUCGUGGUUGCUGUAGCCCACAGUCACUGCCAACAUGCACUACGGGAGAUAUUUUGAGAUUGUUGCAGCCCUGAUAUCCCUGGCUGUUUUACAAGCAAAUGUACCAAUAGCAAUGUAUUUAUUAUUUUUUUUAUUUUUUUUUUUACCAGUAGGAGGAAAAUCUGAAUCUAUAGUCCCACAGAGGCAGGAAAGGAUCCCUUGGGAAAAGCAGUAGGUUGAGUAAAGAGGAGACUGAAAGAGAAGAGCUUUAGAUUUCCCCUUCUGAAAGCAUGUUUGGGGUUGGGGUUCCUUUCUUAAACCCGAUCGGUCUUCACUGGCAUCCUGCUUGACACAAGAAGGUGCUUCUUCCUCCCUUCCUUCUCUUCUCGCCCUGUGCCACCCUGCAGACUCCUGCCUCAGUAGCUGGAGGUGGUCUUCUCCUGGAGGUGGUCUUCUCCUGGAGGUGGUCUUCUCCUGGAGGUGGCUGUAGCCUUUUGGCCUUGGGUCAUGUGAGGGAUGAUCAGUGUUAAUGCAUCCGUAGCUAUUUGGGCUGUGGUUGUUCUAUGGCAGCCAGACACAUCCACGACAAGGACAUCCUCUGUCACCAAGGAAAAUGUCAGUGGAAUCCUUUUGUUGGUCUGUGGUACUUGAACUGCAGAGAGUUUGUGGUCGUUUGACUUCUUUUGUGCUCUGAGUUAAUUGAACCUGUUGUCUCUGACAGCAUUUUAACCGGUACAAGUGCACAAACCAUGCCUGUCCUUCAUGAGCUAUUCUUGACUGGUUCAUGGGUUGAGACAGGGUGCUUCCAAAAAUAUAGUUGUUUUUUUAUGAAGUGACUGCCUUGUUUUAGCGUGAUUUUGAGGCUAAGAGGAUGGGGGGCAUGUGCUUUGUCUGAACGCAGCUUCUCUUCAUCCAAGUGGUUCUUUCUCCCCAAGUGGCUUCAACUAGGUCAGUAGACCAAGGGCCUGACUCCCAGUAGCGCUUAAUGGUGCAGUUGCUUUGUGUGUGGACAUGGUUGGAGUUGUGCUACGCAGGUUGAGGACCUGCACUCUUACUGGGCAGAUGCAUGUCACCCAGGGGAGGGCAUUCACCUGUAGACAUGUCCUGGAUUGCUAAAAGCAUCGUGGUGACCUAUAAUGCUUUUGGUUCCUGCCCGUUUUUCCCUCGAAUGUCGUGAGAUCGUGUAUUGCCCUUGUGCAGUUUGUUUGUUUUGCUGGACAAUACCUGCAUUAGCGGAACCGCUUCGGUGCCUGAGCUACACAGAACGAUGGCAGGGCGGGCUGGCUUGGGCUGGGAGCUGCUGGCGCAUCACUGGUGUGGUUUGCAAUGAUGGACUUCUUUUAAGAGCACCUGACGUGGCUGGGAUAAGUGAAUGUAUUUCUUUCGCCACCGCAGUCUGUCAGAUUUCGCAGACGUGAAGGGGCCACAAUCUCUUUAUUUCAAAGUUCUCAGGUUGUCUUUCUGGUGUUAACUUGUGGCGUUGACACGAGUCCUGUUCUCAGGCAGCCUCUCCAAGGAGACGGGAUGGUUUGGUAAGUCAAACAAACAUACACCUCCAGGCUGUGCACUGUCUGUAGCACAAAUGAUCCAAGAUGGUGAUUUCCAAACCAUGCCUGUGGAGACUCCAGCGUCUGGAGGAGCUGUUGGUAUUCUGGAAGUUGCUCUGAUAACGAUUGCUAAAACGUCACUCUUCGUUUUAACUGCAUGCGUGUAACUACAGCUCACUGCAUUUCAGUGUUUUGGUUCCUUCUCACUAUUAUUACUAACUCUUUAUGAUACUUCCUGGAGCUCGUUAUCUUUGGUGGAGGCCUCAUCCCUGGAGACAUUCAAGGUCAGGCUUGAGGAGGCUCUGAGCAACCUGAUCUAGUUAAAGAUGUCUCUGCUUACUACAGGGGGGUUGGACUAGAUGGCCUUUAGAGGUCCCUUCCAACCCAAGCCAUUCUAUGAUCUUUAGUAAAAUCUGUGACCUUUUUGCCUCAUGUUUCUUUUAUUCUUUUUCCCGAUGCGAGUCCUGCUUCUCAUCCAAAGCAGUUCUCUGGGCUGCCAGGAAGAGUUGGCUGAGCCCCGCGGGCUGGGCUGCCAGUCUUUUCCAGACUGAAAAGACCCUCCACAUCUGCCCUUGCACUCAUCGCUCCUCUCUGCUGCCCCUUUGCCUUUCAGAGAUGGUCCCUUGUGCCUGUGGAAGGAUAGCUCUUAUCUUCUGAAGGCAGCAGGAAGAAUCUGUGAGUAGGUCCUGUGUAGGAGUCUGAGCUCCCGGAAUCCCCAGAAAAUGACAGGAAAUCACAGAAUGGUGGGGUUGGAAGGGACCUCGGGAGAUCAUCCAGUCCAACCCCCUGCUGGAGCAGGGUCACCCAGAGCAGGUGGCACAGGAAUGCGUCCAGGACUCCCAGGUCUCCUCCCACAGAGCUGCUCUCCAAACUUUUGCUCAUCAAGCCCCAGAAGUGACACGAAGAGAAGGGUUUCUGGUCUGAUAGUGUGACUGCAGGCUUCGGAAACUGGUGGGCACUGGCACGUGGAUUCACUUAUCCCAGCCUUGAGGUGUUGGGUGCUCUUUGUGUUCUCCCUGAAGUGCUGUUUGCAGUGCUGGCCUUCCUCUGCCGAAUAAAAGCCAGCGUUUGAAGAACAAAGUGGCUGGUUGCUUUGUAGGUUCAACUUGGUGAAAACUAACAACGCUCCUACUGCAACUGGUUUCAGUUCUGUGGUCCUGAUACCCGUUGAGCCGAAUUCACAAAUCCGCUUUCUGUGUUGGAUGCUGGAUACGUUUGUGACACCUAAUACAAUUUCGCCUUUUGCAUGACUUCUUAAGGAACGCUUGCAGCUUAGGUGCUGCGUGGCAACACGUAGGCUCAGGACUUGAAAAUUAAUGUAUGUGUUUGUUU